CCUACGGGUGGCAGCAGUGAGGAAUAUUGGUCAAUGGACGAGAGUCUGAACCAGCCAAGUAGCGUGAAGGAUGACUGCCCUAUGGGUUGUAAACUUCUUUUAUAAAGGAAUAAAACGAGGCUCGUGUGCCUUUUUGCAUGUACUUUAUGUAUAAGGAUCGGCUAACUCAGUGCCAGCAGCCGCGGUAAUACGGAGGAUCCGACCGUUAUCCUGAUUUAUUGGGUUUAAAGGGAGCGUAGAUGGGUUGUUAAGUCAGUUGUGAAAGUUUGCGGGUCAACCGUAAAAUUGCAAUUGAUACUGGCAGUCUAGAGUACAAUUGAGGUAGGCGGAAUUCGUGGUGUAGCGGUGGAAUGCGUAGAUAUCACGAAGAACCCCGAUUGCGAAGGCAGCUUACUAAACUGUGACUGACAUUGAAGCUCGAAAGUGUGGGUAUCAAACAGGAUUAGAUACCCGAGUAGUC
rnacentral:rRNA from 1 species